GACCUCGAAGGGCGGUGCCCGGCCUCAGCCAGUUUGCAUCUGGGAUUGGCUAGCGGGCUGGUUCCGUUGAGGCGUGGUAGGAAGUGGGAACCGUCAAUCACGGAGGGAGACUCCAAACAGUGAGCCUAGAGCUGGAGCGCAGCGUUUACCGGCGGGGCGGCCGGUGAGGCGGCUGUGGGGCUUUGGCUUUGGGGAGGCUUGGAGAGGACGAGUGGCAAGCAGCCUGAGAGGACGGGGUUUGGCCGGCAGGAAUUCGACGGCAGGUUUUAUGAAUGAAGCUAUGGCUACAGAUUCUCCUCGAAGACCCAGUCGAUGUACUGGUGGGGUUGUGGUUCGACCCCAGGCUGUCACAGAGCAGUCCUACAUGGAAAGUGUUGUGAACUUUCUACAGGAUGUUGUGCCACAGGCUUACAGUGGAACACCUGUAACAGAAGAAAAGGAGAAGAUUGUCUGGGUCCGAUUUGAAAAUGCAGACUUAAAUGAUACGUCACGAAAUCUGGAGUUUCAGGAAAUACAUAGCACUGGAAAUGAACCACCUUUGCUGAUUAUGAUUGGCUACAGUGAUGGAUUGCAAGUCUGGAGCAUCCCUAUCAGUGGAGAAGCACAGGAGCUCUUCUCUGUCAGGCACGGCCCAGUUCGAGCAGCAAGAAUUUUGCCUGCCCCACAGUGUGGUGCUCAAAAGUGUGAUAGUUUUGCUGAAAAAAGACCCCUUCUUGGUGUUUGUAAGAGCACUGGAUCAUCCGGCACAAGCCCACCUUACUGCUGUGUGGAUCUAUAUUCUCUUCGUACUGGGGAGAUGGUGAAGUCCAUUCAGUUUAAAACACCCAUUUAUGAUCUCCACUGCAACAAGCGGAUCCUCGUCGUAGUCUUACAGGAGAAAAUUGCUGCCUUUGAUAGCUGCACUUUCACAAAAAAAUUUUUUGUCACAAGUUGUUACCCUUGUCCAGGGCCAAACAUGAACCCUAUUGCUCUUGGCAGCCGCUGGCUUGCUUAUGCAGAGAACAAGUUGAUUCGAUGCCAUCAGUCCCGUGGUGGAGCCUGUGGAGACAACAUUCAGUCUUACACUGCCACAGUCAUUAGUGCUGCCAAAACCUUGAAAAGUGGCUUGACAAUGGUUGGGAAAGUGGUCACUCAGUUGACAGGCACGCUGCCCUCAGGUGUGACAGAAGAUGAUGUCGCCAUCCACAGUAACUCUCGGAGGAGUCCUUUGGUUCCUGGAAUUAUCACAGUGAUCGAUACUGAAACAGUUGGAGAGGGGCAGGUACUUGUGAGUGAGGAUUCUGACAGCGACGGUAUUGUGGCCCACUUCCCUGCCCAUGAGAAGCCUGUGUGCUGCAUGGCUUUCAAUACAAGUGGAAUGCUUCUAGUCACAACAGAUACCCUGGGCCAUGACUUUCAUGUCUUCCAAAUUCUAACUCACCCGUGGUCCUCAUCACAAAGUGCUGUCCACCAUCUGUACACGCUUCAUAGGGGAGAGACUGAAGCCAAAGUACAAGACAUCUGCUUCAGCCAUGACUGUCGCUGGGUUGUAGUUAGUACCCUCCGGGGUACUUCCCACGUGUUCCCCAUCAACCCCUAUGGGGGCCAGCCUUGUGUUCGAACACACACAUCACCACGAGUAGUGAAUCGCAUGAGCCGUUUCCAGAAGAGUGCUGGACUGGAAGAGAUUGAACAAGAAUUGACGUCUAAGCAGGGAGGUCGCUGUAGCCCUGUUCCAGGCCUAUCAAGCAGUCCUUCUGGCUCACCCCUACAUGGGAAACUGAAUAGCCAAGACUCAUACAACAAUUUUACCAACAACAAUCCUGGCAACCCUCGACUCUCUCCUCUCCCCAGCUUGAUGGUAGUGAUGCCACUUGCACAGAUCAAGCAGCCAAUGACCUUGGGGACCAUCACCAAACGAACAGGGCCUUAUCUCUUUGGAGCGGGGUGUUUUUCCAUAAAAGCUCCAUGCAAAGUUAAACCACCUCCACAGAUUUCACCAAGCAAAUCGAUGGGCGGAGAAUUUUGUGUGGCUGCUGUCUUUGGGACAUCCAGGUCAUGGUUUGCAAAUAAUGCAGGUCUGAAAAGGGAAAAAGAUCAAUCCAAACAAGUUGUAGUUGAGUCUCUCUACAUUAUCAGUUGCUAUGGGACCUUAGUGGAGCACACGAUGGAGCCACGAGCCCUGAGCACUGCCCACAAGAUCAGUGAUGACACUCCACUGGAAAUGAUGACAUCCCCUCGAGCCAGCUGGACUCUGGUUAGAACCCCUCAGUGGAAUGAAUUGCAGCCACCAUUUAAUGCAAACCACCCUCUGCUCCUCGCUGCAGAUGCAGUACAGUAUUAUCAGUUCCUGCUUGCUGGCCUGGUGCCCCCUGGAAGUCCUGGGCCUAUUACUCGACAUGGGUCCUAUGACAGUUUAGCCUCUGACCAUAGUGGACAGGAAGAUGAAGAAUGGCUUUCACAGGUUGAAAUUGUAACACACACUGGACCCCAUAGACGUCUGUGGAUGGGGCCACAGUUCCAGUUCAAAACCAUCCACCCCUCAGGCCAAACCACAGUCAUAUCUUCUAGCUCAUCGGUGUUGCAGUCUCAUGGUCCGAGUGACACUCCACAGCCCCUUUUGGAUUUUGAUACCGAUGAUCUGGAUCUCAAUAGUCUGAGGAUCCAACCCGUCCGCUCUGACCCAGUCAGCAUGCCAGGGUCAUCCCGUCCAGUCUCUGAUCGAAGGGGAAUUUCCACAGUGAUUGAUGCUGCCUCAGGUGCCAGGAACUGAGGCACUGCGCUAUGCACUGGGGACACAGAGCAUAAAAAAGAAAAAAAGAAUGAAUGAAAAUCAGAUCCUGCCCUGCAGGAGCUUGCAGCCUAAUGGAAGGACAGACCAGAAAGUGCUGCCUUGCUCUUGUGCAUAGUCUACUCCACAAAAAUGCCCAGCAGUCAGUGUACUGGCCAGAGUUUGACCGACUGCUGUCCCGGGUGAUGGGUCAGUUGCUCUCUGUGAAGACCUGUUGGAUGAUCUCAGACAAGCAGGGGAGUGUUGGACUUCCCUAGCUGGCCCAAGCCCUCAAGGAUGACUGGAACUUUAUCAAGGAAGAACAUUCCAGGGUCAACAGGCAGCACAUGUAGAGGCAGUGAGGGGGAGGCAUGGUGGUGGGGGCAGGCAAGGCCCAGGGGCAGGCGUAGUGUGCAGUCUGGUGAACAGGGCAGGGGUGCAGGUGAUGGACAGUUAUGCUCCAAAGAGUGGGCUUUGUCUUAAGGACAGAGGAGUAGAAUGCACACAUUUGCAGUUGCAGGAAAAGUCACACUGGUAGCAACAAGAAGAAUGAAUUGAGGGGCCGGCACAGUAGGUUAAUCCUCUGCCUAUGGCACAGGUUCUAGUCCCAUAUGGGCACUGGUUCUAAUCCUGGCUGCUCCACUUCUGAUCCAGCUCUCUGCUAUGGCUGAGAGAGCAGUAGAAGAUGUUCCAAACACUUGGGCCCCUGUUUCCGCAUUGGAGACCCAGAGGAAGCACCUGGCUCCUGGCUACAGAUCAGCACAGCUCUGGCUGUUGCAGCCAUUUGAGGAGUGAACCAAGGGAUGGAAGACCUCUCUCUCUGUCUCUCCCUCUCACUGCCUGUAACUCUACCUCUCAAAUAAAUAAAUAAAAUCUUUUUUUAAAAGAAUGAAUUGAAAGUAAAGAUAGAGUAAACUCUGUGAGAACUGAGCUGAAUUCCGGUAGCUAUAGAGAGUAGAGGACAAGUUCAAGAGGGCUUAGGAGGUUAAGUCCACAGCCCUUCCUGAUCAGCUGGAGGUAGGGGUAGGGAAGGGGCAGCUGAGGGGAUGGCGUCGCCGUUCACUUAGGAAAUCUGUUUUGGACUUGUUGAGGUACCUGUGGGACAUCCAAGGGAAUGUGUUUGGUGUCCCCUGCCUGGGUUUGGAGCCAGGCGAGAACUGAGGGGCAGGUGCAUUUGGGAAGUCCGGAGCGUGCUGCUUGUAUGUGCAGCUGCUGGAGUGAGUGAGUGCACUCAGGAAAAGUGUGCAGAGUGUGGUGGAACCAUCAGGAGCACCACAGUCAGGGUUGCAAAUCAGGAAGAGCGGGGCUGUGGGGAGACUUGGGGGUGGUCAGAGAGGGAGAAGGAAAACCAGAGGAAGCCCAGCACUGGUGGGAGUAUGCAGCACUUUCCCCGUCUAGUCAGUUUGCUUUUAGGGUGUUGGGCUGUGUUCCACCAAGCUGCCGUGGCUGUGGGAGAACACUCACAUGUUUUCCCAGUUGGGCAGAGGUUAUUUAAAAAAAUUAUUUAUCUAUUUGAAAGGCAGAGUUACAGAGAAGCAGAGAGAAAGAGCAAGAGAGAGAGAGAAGUCUUCUACCCAGUGGUUCACUACCCAAAUGGCUGCAGUGGCUGGAGCGGGCCAAUCCAAAGCCAGGAGCCAGGAGCUUCUUCCGGGUCUCCCGUAUGGGUGCAGGGGCCCAAGGACUUGGGCCAUCUUGUACUGCUUUCCUAGGCCAUAGCAGAGAGCUGGAUGGGAAGUGAAGCAGUCGGGACUCAAACCGGCAGCCAUACAGGAUGUCGGCACUGCAGGUGGCAGCUUCACCCACUAUCCAUAGCGCCGGCCCCUGGGGCAGAAGUUCUUAAUGCUCAGUUUGAGGACCUACUGCUCUACAGCAGUGGUUCCCAGAGUUCCUGAAUAAGAAUCUGACUGUAUCCCAGAACCACUGCAUCAGCAUAUCCCGGAGAAGGGCGAAGAAUCCACCCCCGGGAAGCCUCCCCUGGGAUUCCUCUCACCAGGGAAGCCUGGGAAUGGUGCUCCAAGCGUUCCUGGAGAACCUGAGGUUCUUUCUGACUGCGCCGAUCACACCCCACACCCACACCUUCUGCCCUAAGGUUGUGAUCCCUGUGGUCAUGACCGCUGUUCUAGUGAGGCUCUGGCUGGCUGGCGUUGGAAGUGCUCACCCUACCCUGAGCACUGGCGUGUUUGGGAGCCAGCAGAGAUGCUGCGCUGGGGUUGUUGGUCCAGCUCCAGCCUCUGCCCGUGUUCUGACCACAGUCCUUCCCCGCUGCCUGGUGCGGCUGGGCUGAUCGCCAGUUCUGCUCUGUGGGGUAACGGGCCUGAAUGUAACCCAGCAUUCGGAAAUGCCUCUGAAUGUGUGAAGCUGACUCAGAACGAAGUGGGGAAGAGGCGCCAUAUGUAGACGGUAGGACAUUGUAGGGUUAUUGCCGCUGAAAGAGCCAGCUCCACCUGCUUCUGUGUUGAAGACCUUGCGCUGCCUAGUGUCCCCAGCGUGCGACUCACAAAGCAUGCCUGAUUCAUUUACUCUCAGGAGUAAGGUCGUGAAUAAGGCCUGUCGCAACCAGAGGUAUUUAUUACUCCUAAGAGUGAUUGACAGGACCUGUGCACCUGGUGUGAAAUUGCAAAUUUAUUGACUUCAAACACUCUCAUUGUAUUAAUGAAUAGUCCAGAUAAGUAGCCAUUCCCAAACUAUUGGCUUUGGGCAUUGUCUUUCUAGAACAAAAUGGAAACAUAAAUUACAGUUAUUUUAAUAUAAUAGGCAUAAGAGACCUACUGAGUAAAAAACCAGGGACAUCUCCUGUUUAGAGCUAUUUUACAUUAUUAAAUAACUUGUAUUAUGUAUAUUUAAUCUGUUCCCCCAAGAAAAUACAAUCACCACUUCAUAAAGAAACCUGCACCCCAUUCGCUAGAGCACUGUUCACAACCAGGCAAGAUAGGAACACAACCCAAGUGUCCAUCAGUGGACAGAUGGACAACCCAUAGCAUGCACAUGUGUGUGCACACACACACCCACACCUGCACACACAGUGAUUCUGCCCCUUGCCACUAUUUGGAGUUAUUUGAGAAUGAAAGGUUGCAGGGUGGUGCUGCCUGGGAGGAGGUGGGUGGGUGGGUGCAGAAUGAAUGCCUGGGCAAGUUUUCUUUCAGGCCCAUGGCACACAGAUCAGCUCAUGCUGUAGUGCAGGCCUGUUCUUUCACCUCUCCAUUCAGCAAACUUGGGUGCCUGUCGUGUGGCAGGACCUAUGCCGGGGCCAUCUGUGGGGUGUCAGAUAACCUCAGGGUGAGCUCUUUCUGAUUCUGGAGGGCAGCAGUUGAGUCUCGGGAGCACCAGGAAGGCUCCCAUGAGGCUGUUGCUGGCAGCUCCCGGUUCCCAGGUUAGCAGCGCCCAGUCCCAAGUGCACACGCCUCCUGCCAAGACUGUGUGAGACCUACAGGGUACCUGUUUUUUUGGUUUUUUGGGGUUUUUUUUAGAUUUAUUUGACAGGUAGAGUUACAGACAGUGAGAGAGACAGAGAGAAAGGUCUUCCUUCUGUUGGUUCCCCCCCUAAAUGGCCGCAACAGCCAGAGCUGCACCUAUCCGAAGCCAGGAGCCAGGUGCUUCCUCCCAGUCUCCCAUGCGGGUGCAGGGACCCAAGUACUUGGGCCACCCUCCACUGCCUUCCCGAGCCACAGAAGAGAGCUGGACUGGAAGAGGAGCCACCAGGACUAGAACUGGUGCCCAUAUGGGAUGUUGGCACCACAGGCAGAGGAUUAACCUUGUGUGCCACGGCGCUGGCCCCAGGGUACCCGUUUAUCAGGUUUGAUUUUCUGACCAUCUGAGGGAUGUGAGAAAGCUAUUCUAGUAGCUUUUCAACCCCAAAGGCAUCUCCCAAACUCGAAUGAAACCUGGUGAGAAAUGAAUUCCUUUGUUCCACUCUUACUCCUAGUUCAAGGUCAGAUCAGGGGUUAGUGCUGUCAGGUGGAGUCACUGAAGUCUCUGCCGCCCUGCCAGGGGCCCCUGGUGCCUUGGCCUUUUCUUUGUAUUUUUAUUCCUCCCUAUGGAGGAAGCCGAUUUUCCUCUAAUCCAUUGUGUACUUCAGGUCUGAAGAUAAAAAGAUAAGUUCCUGCGUGCUCUCUCUCACACACACAUAAGCACACACAUGCACUCACGCUUACCCAUACACAUGCUCAUGCUCACACGUACAUGCUUACACACACUCAUAUACACGCUCACACGUACAUGCUCACACACACUUACACACACUCAUACACAUGCUCACACACACUUACACACACUCAUACACAUGCUCACACACACACUUACACUCAUACACAUGCUCACACGCACAUUUGCUCAUACAUACACAUGCUCACAUGCACACACAUACAUGUGCUCACACACAUGCUCACACGUACAUGCUUACACACACUCAUACACAUGCUCACACGCACAUUCGCGCACAGAUACAUGUGCUCACAAACACACACUCAUACACAUGCUCACAUACUUGCUCACACACUCGCUCACACACACUCAUCCUGGGCUGGUGAUAAAUCUGCUCUUUGCCUGACUACAGCAGAAACAAAAUACGGUGCUUCCUCCUCAUGGGGGGAAUUGGCAUUUCUUACACGAGGAGGGGGAACAGGAAUCUCUCCGGCCCCUCUCAGCUUGCGUCUCAGCUGUGGAAAUGAAUAACAUCCUGCCUGGCCCUGCCAGGGUGAAGCGGGGAGCAAGAAGGGAGAAUCCUGGCCCCGAGCUCCUGCCAGGGAGACCCUUGAGCUGGCAGGAAGUCAUAACCAGGUUAACACCAUUAUCUGGGCAGGGCCGAGCAGGAAUGUCCUGCAGGCAGGUGAGGACCCCCCCCCCAGCCUACAGACAGCUGGGCCUGUGAGGGAGAAAGACAAAGGGAGGCCCCUCAUGGGCCCACCCGGGUAGCCAGGUGGGAAGGCCCUUGGGUGCAUUAACAUGAGGCUGGAGCUGAGGGAAGAGGCCGAGGGACUGGCCGCUAUGGGGAUUGAACUCAUGGGGUGGGAAGGAGGAGAAAAGGAGGGGAGAUGGCGGCAGCAUCGGCUUGAGGAGUCGUGGCUGCCGCACACCCAAGCCUCUGUCUGCUGCUGCUUCUGUCGCAGACUGCGCGUCAUUCCCAGCCUGGGCCUCCAGCUCCUUGGCUUUAGAGAAGGUUGAACCUGAAGUACUACAAAGAGCCAGGAGCCGCAAACUGCUCUGGGGCUGGGACAGAGGUGAGCAGUGGCCGUCCAGCUUUAGCGAGCACACAGGUGCCUGGGGACCUCAUUUAAAGGUGGAAUCUGAUGUUGCAGGCCUGGCUGGGGCCUGAGAGGCUGCAGGUCCAGCAGACCUCCCUGUGUGCCAUUGGGCAGGCCACACGUGGAAUACUCCUAUGCCACGUGCUCAGCUGUGGAAAGGGGACUGGUAAGCAUCGCCUUGACGUCCUCCUGCAAGGUGCGGUGAAGAUAAGGGAGCAGAGGCCUACGGGAGCAUGGCGUCAAGGCAAAGCAGUGUGUAGUGCCAGGGAUUAUUGCCACCAUUGAGGCUUCUGCGCCUGUUGCUUACCCUGUGUGUGUUCCUGCAGCACCUCAGCGUCUCCCUGCCUCCUCUCUGGUCUCCAGACCUGUGCUGCAGAGUCAGUGUGGCCCCCACCAUGGCUGCACAAAUACUUUGAUGUGUCGAGGCAGGAAAUGACAGUCCCCAGGCACCCCGCUGGUUCAGGUGUGGGACAGUCCCCUUAAACAGGCCUAGGAUGAUGCACUCAAGUGCUACCAGGCUAAGCCCCACCCUCAGCCCCAUGACUGCGAGACCAGACAGGCAGACAGGGCAGUCCCCGUGCAACAGAAGGCCUGGGGAAGCGCCUGCCUGCUCACGGAAACCUUCAUGGAUGCUGCCACGGCCGCCCUGCGCAGUGGGAGGCAAAGGGGACCAGCCUCUGUAGCCUCGUCCGUGAAGUGGAGCAGACAGCAUCUGCGCUGCCUGUGGCGCUCUGCCGUGGUCCUGUAAGCAAAGUGAGACGAUUUUGUGAAAAAGUGUGCUGAUCCUGUGGAAACAGGCAUGGCGUUCGUGAGACUCUGCUCGCUGCUCCCACGGGAGGAGCACGGUGCUCAGACUGCCCUCCCCCAGCCCCGCUGUAGGAUGUCCCCUUGUCCCCCGCUGGCCUCCAGGCCUUGCAGAAACCAUCCUCACGCCCCUCCAGUGACCAGUGGUGCUGCUUUUCGUCUUACCCUCCUUGGGCCCUGAGUUCAGGUCUUGCCUGAGCAGCUUCAGUGGAGGGGCCUGGAAUGUCAGGAUCCUGUUGUGUGCCGUACCCACCAGCACAAGCACAGGCCGGGCCCGGCUCUUUGUCCCGAGCCCCCUGCAACUGAAAUCGUGGUGCAGAUUCAUGCCUUGGAGUGAGAGCUGACAGCUUAGGUGGCGGAGGGUGCUACAAAGCUGACCACGCACACUGCAAAUAGAGCUGCCUGUUGCCCAAGCGGGCAGUGCCACUGUAAAGCCCCUAUAAUUAGGUGGCUACCAAAACAACACACCCAAUCAGCGCCUCAGCCACAGCAGGACCCUCCCCUUCAGCGCUGAGUGGGCUCCUCCCUGCCUUUCCCCGAAGCUGCUGGCCCAGGGCCUCCUGGGAAGGAGCAAAUAGAUCCUGGCUCAAGUAGGAACCCAUUUGCCCACCCAUCCCUCCUUGGCCUUUGAAGUCCCAGAGUCCAGCCCAGACCCAGGCCUGCAGAGUGUGGCCCCAAACACCUCAGCGAGCAGGGGAAGCCGAGAGGUCUCCCUCUGAGGGAAGGCAGAGCCGCACGGGGAGAGCAGAGGUCAGGGAUAAUCCACAAGCACAGGCCGCUCGGGGCUGUGUGCAGCGCGAGCGUCACAUCUGCAGCCCGGUCGUGAUAAAUCCGAUGGUUUUGGAAACAUCUUUGAUUAAGGAAAACAGAAGACGUCCUGGCCCCUGCUUUCAGACUUCAAAGUUCUCCGUGGAAAGCCUCACAUUUGACUUAACUUACAGAGCGCAAAUCACAGGAUUGUAGGGGGUUGCUCCCCCCACCCCAGCUGCCCAACUGUAAGAACCUCUGUAAAAUUUUAGAUAGGACAACUGAGCUGAAAACCCCCUUCUCCGUACUGCAGCCAGAUUUUCAAAACCAAAAUUCAGGUGAAGGAGUCUGGCAUUGUGGUGCGGCAGGUUAAGCCGCUGCGUGGGGUGCCUGCAUCCCCUAUCAGAGAACCCGCGAUUAAGUCCCACCUCUGCUUCUAAUCCAGCUUCCUGCUAAUGCACAUCCUGGGAGGUAGCAAGUGCUGGCUCAAGCACGUGGGUGUCCGCCACCCACGUGGGAGAGCCAGGUGGACUUCUUGGGCUUGGCCUCUGCCUGGCCCAGCCCCAGCUUUUGCUGGCAUUCAGAGAGGAAGCCUGCAGAUGGACAAUCUCUCUCUCUCUCGCUCUCGCUCUCUGACACUCUGCCUUUCAAAUAGAAAAAUAAAUAAACUUUUAAAAACAUUCAGCGUACGUUUCAGGUAGCAAGUGUAAGCUUUAGAGUCAGAGGAACACAGAAUCCUGGCUGAACACUUGAUAUUGUCACCUUGAACAAAAAUGUUACUUUUCUUUGCCUCACUUUUUUGAUCUGUAAAAUGGGAAUAAUUGCAUCAAUAUAAUUGAAUUCUUGGGAUGAUUUAGAUGACAUAUAAUGUAUAUAAAGUGCUUAGCGCUGUGUGGCACAAAAUAGACACCCAGGUAUUUAAGUUCUCUUUUCCUGAUAUCUGACCCAACUAUUUCCCAUCAGGACUGUCCUAGAAAACCUACUUUAUGUGUUUGUUGCCUUGAGAGAUACGGUUCCGUGAAAUGUUUCCAUUCAAGGAGUUGUUCGGUUUCCGAGGACACGCUGCAUCUUCCAGUGAAUUCUGAGCCUUUCCGGGGGAAUCCUGUACAGGAUGCUGAGUGCACAUUUUCUCUCCAUCCUCAGAAGCAGGCCAGAGUAUACCGAAGGAGCCAUUUCAUUGCAAUGUAGCUGCAAAAUGAUUCUUCCUUUCUCAGGUGGAGGGGUAGAAGUCACGACUGCACUGGGCUUGGGGGGUGGUGUUUGGCCCAGUGGUUAAGAUGCCAAUUAGUACACCCACAUCCCAUUGCAGGGCAUCAGAGUGCCUGGAUUUGACUCCUGCUCCAGCUAAUGACUCCAGCUUUCCUACUAAUGCAGACCUGAGAGGCAGCAGGUGAAGGCACAACUAGUUGGGCUUCUGUCACUCAUGUGAGAUACCUGGGCGGAGUUCCCAGCCCCAGGCAUCAGGUGGUGCAGGCAUUUGGGGAGUGAACCAGAAGAUGAGAUCUCAGUUUCUCUCCCUCUCAAAUAAAUAGAGGAAUAAUUUUUAAAAACGUAAAGCAGAGGGGUAAAGGGUCUCUGAGAUGCCAUCUGGGAACUGCUGGCCUGACUCUGGGGCAGCAGCAGGUCGGUGUGAGUGAGGAGCCAGCCCACACUCUCCUUACUGGGGUCCCCAGUGAUGACUGAGCUCCUGGGCUCACAGGCAACCUGCUGGGGCCCUGCUCAGUGACCUCACCAUGCGUGAAGGUCGCAGACAUGCCUUGACAGUCAGGAAAGGGUGUCUCCUAGGAAGCCGCGUAUCCAAAGGAUAGUGGAGGGUCACAGGCAAAGGGAUUCGAUUUUUAAAUCUCCUUUCAGAGUUGUUCUUUAAGCCCUUUCUGACUCAGGCAUGGAUUGUGUACAGAGGUGGAAUUGCUCCUGCCAUUUUUCACACACUAGUUGGUACACAUUCCUGAUCUGAAUUGAGAGGAAAUGUGCCACAGGUGCAAGGGAUGGGUUCACACUGCAUCGCGUGCGGCCCGCCAGGGCCUCUGGGAGGAGAGUCAGACGUGGGCCACAGAGCUGCAGGCUCCCUGGCCCCAGCCGGGCGGAGGUGGCACUCAGGGCUUCCCCAGGAGGCAGCUGAGCGAGGAUGGGCCUCCCGCACAGGCUCUGCCUCUCGCUGGCUGACCGGCUCCUAGCGGGCACGCUGCUCUGCAGGCAUUUCGCUCACUCGACCUUUCUAUUUUUUCUUUUAAUUUUGUUUUGUUUUUAUUGAUUACAAAAAUUGUGGAAAACACCUAGAAAGGUAUAAGGUAACAGGAGAGCCCCCUGGCCCGGCUCGGGAGGCUCCUUGGUGACCGUUUGCUGUGAGUCCUGUAGGACACUUCUCUGGGCUGCUGGUGGGUGCUCACUCCAUAAUUCUGCCUUGCUUUGCACAUUGAAUGUGCUGUAAAGGGUGUCUCCUCUUCACACCUUCUGUUCUCCAAGGAUUAAGUGUAAUUUACAUAACAAAUACCCCUUGUGAAGCCGUGUGAAAGAAGUAGCAUCUCGGUGCAUAAAGGUUUCUUGGCCUCCUAGCUUAUAUACUUGGACUGGAGUUCUGAAAAUAGCAUUCGCAGGUCAGUAGAUGAUGCGUUUCUACCUUAGUGUGUACCGCCACUCAGAUAGCUUAGACUAGUAACUUCCCAUCAGCUACAAUCUGGCUUAUCCCAUCCGGACCCAUACAGACUGUGGUUCCAUUUAUUUAUUCAAGAAUUUAGGGGUGUGGGUGUUGCAACAUAGCAAGUUAUGCUACUACUUGAGACACCCACAUCCCACAUCGGAGUGUCUGGGAUCAAGUCCUACCUCUGCUUCUGAUCCAGCUCCCUGCUAAUGAGCCCUGGAGGCAGCAGAUGAUGGUCCAAGUACCUGGACUCCUGCCACCCAUGUGGGAGACCCUGGUGGAGUCUCUGACUCCUGGCUUGGGCCUUUCCCAGCCCUGACUGUUGUGGGCAUAUAUGGAGUGAACCAGCAGGUGGAAGAUCUGUCUGUCUUUCUCCCCCUCUUCCCCUCCCCAGUCCCGCUUUCAAGUAAAUAAAACUUAAAAGAAUUCAGGGAGCUGAAAAUCCUGUCCCCACCCUCAGAUGUGGAGAGGUCAUUGGUACAUAAGGGACCUAACCUUGUUCUGAGCUAAGGGGCCGACCCCCUGCUCCCCGAGCCCUCAAGGCAUCCUCUGGAAAGGGGGCACCAUGGCCAGCGAAGGCCCCUGCCUCGCAGUAGGCAGUGAGCAGUCAGCCUGGGUGGAGCCGCUGCACGGGGACAGGCUGCUCCGCUGGCUGCCUGUCUUCUGCCCAGGAUUUCCUCAGGGACUCACCUUCACUCUCUAAAAAAUCCCAGGGCCCCCAAGAAGUGCUGCUCACAGAGCCAGGGGUAAUCCCCUCUGAGUGGCCCCUGGUCUAAGAAACCAGUGUAAACACUGCAGUUACAGACCUGAUUGGUUUUUAUUUGUGACGCAGGCGUGGGGUGGUUCUCUACAGCAGACUGAGAGCUUCCCCAGGCAGAAUCAGAACAUUGGGAGCAGGCAUCGGCCCAACAGGGGGAAAGCUGAUUGGUUAACCUCAGGUUAUAUCAGGUUACUUCCGUGAAUAAGGGUUAAAGCAGAAGGGCGUCCUUAGGAUAUGGACUCAGGUGGACCAGAAUCUCCUGUUUGAGAAUACAGGUGGGCCAGGGGCCUGUCUACAGCCCCUCGAAGUUCGGGUCCAAUUCUGUCCCAUUCAGCACAAGUGAUCCAUUUUGUCCUGGUCUGGUUCCGUGCAGAAGUUUCACAACAGCCUCCCAUGAUUUUACUUAACACACUGAUGUGAUGCUCACAGUAGCCCUGCAAGGCAGACGUCAAUUCCCUGGCUUGCAGGUGCACUGUUCUCUUGGAGAAGCUGUCAGAAAUCACCAAGGUGUGCUGCAUUCAGACAGCGCUACUCAGGGUGGCACUCCGUGAAGGCUCACCUCUUCCAGCCCCGGCGGCCCCCAGCGUCCCCUGGCCUGUGGCUGCAUCACUCCCGUGUCCGUCUCUACCUUCAUAUGGCCUUCUUCUCUGUGUCUGUCAUCUCCCUCUCUCUGCUCUUCCAAGAACACAGGCCUUUGGGUUCAGGAUGGUAAAUUAUGACUGAAAGGCUCUAUGUCCAAAUCAGGCCACAUUCUGAGGCUCCAAAGGGACAUGUCUUUUAGUAAGGACACCUUUCACCUGACUGGCUAUAGUUGAAGAAACCAAGGUCCAAAGAAGGGAAAUGACGUUCCCAAGGUCAUUCAGUGAAAAAAAUAACUGGCCGUGGCGUAUGAGCCCAGGUCUCCUACUCACCAAGACUAUGUUUAAUUAGGCAAAAGCAAGACUCCUAUGGGAUGGUUCCUUGCUUAUAUUACCUGGUUCACAGAAAAUGAAAUUUGGUAACUUACCCUAGGAUAGCUCAAACAUUAUUUUACCAUUUUUCUGUUAGCAUCUUGUUAAUUCCAUAAUUCUGUUAGGAUAUUAUUAUUAUUUACUUUGGAAUUAAUUGAUGUCAGUGUGAACCCCUUAAAUGAGAAUCAGUUAUUGUCCAUGUGUUAAGUGUGGAAAUCGCGUCCCAGAGGGAGUCAGUCACUUGCCCGGAGAGACCAGAAAUGUCUGUGGAGGAAUUCCAGUUAUAGCCUACAUCUCCCACUUUGUAACUGAUGUUCGAGCCGUCAAGGUCUGCGUUAGGAUCCUCUGCUGCGGUUGUGAGUGUGACCUGGCUGUCACAGUGACGCCUGUGUGUUAAACUGCAGGGAAAGUCUUAGUGUCUCAGUUACUCCUGGCCUUUUCUUCCUGCUGCAGGCCUCUUUGACAUGUUGGCCACACGGGGCACUGUGUUCAUGUAGCCCCUUCUCCCUCGGGGCCCCGAGGGCCUGUGAGAGCAGGUGUGCGUGCCGUCGCCACCUGGCCUGUCGGCACCUCCUGGCUUUACAACAUUAGCUGGGGUGUUCCUUUGCUUUGCUGGAAGCUUUUCUUUACUCUUUGCUCAGUUUGCUUCCAAACUGGAGUAGUAAAUCCUUUAAAAAUAAUCUACUACCCAAACCCCAAAUCCCACAGCCAAACAGAUGAACACGGGACAUACAGGGUUCACUGAUUGUCACCGUUUCAUGAGCCUUAGAUCAUCUGAGUCAUAACAGAUGGCUGGAGCCCAGGCCCCUUUGCUCAGUCCCACAUCUGCCUAUAGGGGUGAGAGUGUGUUAUUUACGGGAACCAACCCAGAGAAUGCAGAGGACAGGCGGAGUGCUCAUCUCCUUGCGCCCUACCUGCCCUCCCACAGUGAACCCAUCUGGUAGUCGUGACAUGGUGCACGAUAUCAUGAACUAUGAAAUAUGCCUGCAGACAUCCCAGUGACCUCCCGAUCAGUCAGGGUUCUCCCGGAAAACAAAAUGGGAGACGGGUACAUGUAUGUAUGUGUCAUAUGUAUGUGUCAUAUGUAUAUGUCAGCAGAUCAUUCUCGGGAUUUCUAAUGGGAAUUACCUGGUGUGAUUAGGAAGGCUUUGAAGUCCCACUCGCUGCUGCCGUGAGCUGCAGGCCCAGGGCGGCUGGAAGUGCCACCGUGGGAAAUCCCGGUGUAAGUCCUUGUCGGAUCCCAAAGCGCAAAACGCAGUGGAUGAGGGGCUGAAUGUGUGAGCCCCAGCCUGGGCCCGGAGGUCUGAGCACCAGGAGCCGCAGUGUCCAAGGGCAGGAGGAGACAGUGUCCCAGCUCAGAGGGAGUGAAUGUGUCCCUCCGGCCUCUUCUUGUCUUCUUCAGACCCUCAGCUGGACAGCGCCCACCCACAUGGGCGAGAGUGGAUCUUCCUCACCCUGUUGACUGGUUCUGAUGCUAGUAUCUUCCAGGAACACUCCACAUCAUGUUUUGCCAGCUCUCUGGGCAUCCCUUAAGCCCAUCAAGUUGUCAUGUAAGAUUGACUGUGGCACCAAGUAAAGCUCAGGUCCUGGUGCUAAUCGGAGCUGAGCUGAGGUGUGGAGAAGGCAGUGCUGGCGGUCAGCUCAGCAAGGAGCAGUGUGGUGCCCCAGCGAGGAGGCCGUGCAGGGGUUGCCUUCACCGUGCAUGGGACAGUCUCUUGGUUACCAAAGACACUGCUAUUAUCACAAGCUCUCACCUAGCAGGGCCUACCUCUUGUAGUGCAGGUUUUCUUGUUGGCCUCCCUGGUUGCUGGAAAUCUGAUCAGCAGACUCUCAGCAAAGUCCAAACCCAGGGCUGACUCUAGUGGUUGCAAAGCGGAGGCUGUGCCACCGUCUCGUAAAUAGCGGGAUACGAUUAGACACUAUCAGCUUAGGGGAGCAUCCCGCCUGCCCGCUCCGCCUCCACCCCCAUGCGUCCCUGCCCCUUUUACAACGCUGUACAAAGCAGCGCGUGUCCCCCCGCCUCCCCACAUGCUGCCAGCUUGCCAGCUGUCACAGCAUGCCUUUAAUGGGUUUGUGAAACCCAAGAACCUGCCCCGUCUCUUCUCUGGGGAGAGAGGAUCACACUGGAUGCCAAGCUGGGUAGCAGGAUGCCACCGCCCUCUGUGCCAUCCCACCCAGCUUGCUUUGCUUUUUCUCAUUCUCAGAAUCUCCAAAUCUAAAAUAAGUGUACAGAAGGCGAAAGAGUGAUGCUGUAGGGUUGCUCUCCGCUCCGGUCUUCUGAUGUAAAGUCCAUUUUCUGCCUACCCUAGCUCUAGCUGCCUGGGCUCAACAACCUAAAGGGUGUUGACACCAGAGUAACAGAUCUCUCAGAUGGUCAUGAUGAGUCAAUCAGCAAAUGUGCUCCGAGCACGCGUGACGUACUAAGCCUUGCGCUGUUUCCCAUUAUGGAGAAAUGCAUGCCCUCAGGAGUUCUGAGCUGCUUGGAGAAGCGUAGGGUGUGAGCAGCAUACGGCAGUGUGGAACACGGCCUUGGGAGUGGUCUGUGGGGUCCCGGAUCAACCUGGGCUCCACAGAAGGGUUUCAGAGGCAUCAUGCUUGCGUGGUGUUGUGUCUACCAGCACACAAUUUUUGGAUAAAUUUCUAGCUUUCCUCAACUACACUCCUAAAGAUAAAAACAAACAAAACAAAAAACCCGCGUACUAUCAGAGCUGGUGGGUGAAUAUGCAUUAUGUGCUGAGUUAUUGUGCAGGGUUCCAUUGAGCAAAGUCAGACUUGAACCCCAUCUUGGAGCAUGACGGAGACUGCAGGGUACAAGGCGGCCCUGCAGGGUAGAUUCUCAGGCGGCUUCCUGGGAAGACCGUGGUGCUCGGUGUGGUUUCUCACAUCUCUCAGACUCCGGAAAUGCCAGUCGUUAACGUGGUGACAGUUGCUGCUGCUUCCCACGUUCUGGGAAGGCCCCUGAGCGUGGGCUCCUGGAUUUUUGGCCCACUCUGUAUUGCCAUACAGUGCAGUGCUUGACUCCUGUCAUGUGGACAGUAAUCCGUGUUUGAUGAAUGCCUGAGUUAGCUGAAGUAACGCACGUGCGAGGGCUCUGCAGCCAGCGGCUCGUUGCUUCCGCGUGUCUUCAUUGCUAGCAUGUGUGUUUUGAGCUUUGCAGCGGCCUGCGCUCAGUGAGCAUCUUCUCCCCCGAAGCUGACCCUUCCCCACGUAAUGGGACUCAAGGGCCAGCCCCUCUGAUGGAGCGUCCCUGGGCUAGAAGAUGAAUGAGAGCUGUGCCGUCACCACCGACAAGAUGUGCAGUUUCCUAAGAGCCCGGAGGUGACCUCAGCCUCCAAGGGCUUGGCCUGUUCACCCCUGCGCCUGCUGACAUGCACACACCUGCAGCCCCGCUCCACUCCGCAGCCAGGAGGGCAGCAGCGGGCUGGGAGGAAGGGCGGGGGGUGGGGGUGUUACAUAGCCUCCGCCGGGACCCUUCCAGCUGGAAGAGCAGGGGCUCUGCUGUGACUUCCCUGGGCAGCAGAAACGACCACGUGCUCCUUUGCUGGGCACCCUCAGGGUCUCCUGCCUCCCACCCACAGCUUCUUAGAUGUGUCCAGGCUGACAGAAUAGACCUCCAGUCUGUCUUUUCCCUCCUGUGUGCCGUCGGACCGCGGGGUGACUCCUCAUCAUCACCAUGAUACACCCAGGGACUUGGGCUGGUCGGGAGCAGGAAAGAGUCUUAAAAGGCGUUGGAGGAAGAUGACAGGAGUUCUCUGCGCAAGUUGAGAGAAACAGGGCGGGAGGCAGUGUGCGAGUGCAUAGAGUGAGCUUGUAGAAAGAUGGUCUUCCCCGAGUUACACCCCUGAAGGGACACUCUGCCCGCCUUGCCUCACGUGACGACCUUGCUCGCCAAGCCCACGCUGUGAGAUAUUAAGAUUAGCCACCCAUGCUUUCGAAAUAAAUACUACGUAUUUGUGUCUAUGUAACAUUUCCAUAGGGAGGGAAUAUGGCAAAAUAUUUUUAAAAAGCAGAAUGUGUUCCGAGCCGAGAAUCAGGAACACAUAGCUUAACCUCUGCAAGCUUCCUGCUCCUCCUCCUCCUCGGCCGAGCUGAGGAUCAUGGCGGUCAAGGUGUAGACGCCGAGGUAGGCACUUGUGACUGUUGGCGAGCACACGGGUGACAUGCAGGGCACCCCUGUGUCAGGCACUGCCAGCUUCAUCUCACGUAGCCUCUCCGCCCCCGACGGCUCCAUGCAGUUGUGUUGUUUUGUCCGUUCUUCCCGGGGAGGAGUUGGUGACUCCAGCCUGGAGUUGCACAGUGGAUAUGUGUGAGUCCAGGUUUAAAUCCAGGUCCGCUUGCAUUCUGCACCAUGACAUGACUUUCAGUUCUCUCCUCUGAUACCGUGUACCCCUCUGUCAGCCAUGGCAGGCCCACCCUCUCACCUGAGCGCUUGGUGCUGUAACGGGGGGUCUGGAUUCUGAUUUGUUUGAUUGUCUUCCUGACUCGGCCCUGCCCUGGCCUCUUGCACAGAAGGUGUGGUCAGCAAUGGGGACACCUCCCAGAGGCAGCCGCCCUGCUGUCCGCUCCCGUCCUGCUCUCCAGGCUCUGAGCCACCUCUGGCUGCAAGAAAGCUGCGUGCCCAGGCAGGAGGAGGGUCCUCGUUUUCUCAUCAUUCUGGCUUCUGAAGUCAUGAGGCACAGGCGUGCCAGACAGACCCUGGAGAAAAACACCCAUGCUGUAGCUGCUGGUGCUGUCAGAUCAGCCGGGGCGGGGAAGCUGGCGUAACCGCACUGCUCCCUGGAGCCAGAGCAAAGAGUCACUAGUUCCCUUCAGAGAUGGGAAAAGGAGAUAGAGGCACUCGGCUGACGUCACGGGGGAACAGGCAGUAGACUCAGAAAGCUCGUUGGUGUCAUCAGCCCUGCGUGUCCUUGGGAGCUGGGCUGAUGUUGGCUGGGUGUUGUCCCCAGGCCUGGCGCUACCAGUGUCUGACUUCGCUCAGCCCAGGCCCUUGGAAAAUUUGCUAACACUCAGCACCUAGCUCCCCAGAACGCCACCCUGACCCUACUCAGUGGGACAGAGAAGGUGAGUGAGGGCAGCACCCCAUUGCCAGUCGCCAGCAGCCCCACCGCCAAGGCUGCGUCUUCAGGGAGACGCAGUUACAGCUGCUGCCCACUUUCCAGUGCCAGGAGCCUGUUCUACAAUUAGGUACCUUCGACCGGAGCGUGACCCUGCUGGAGGUGUGCGGGAGCUGGCCUGAGGGCUUCGGGCUGCGGCACAUGUCCUCCAUGGAGCACACAGAGGAGGGCCUGCGGGAGCGGCUCGCCGACGCCAUGGCCGAGUCACCCAGCCGUGACGUCGUGGGAUCUGGAACAGG